AAAACAUGAUUACUUUUGUAUGGAGAGUUUUAUUUCCUAAGUUAUAGUGUUUUCCAAAGUAUCUUAAAAAACUAUAAUUCAUUUUUUUAUCCCAUGCUUCAUGUUUGUAUUGAUUUUGCUUGAUUAUCUAUUUUGGAACUUAUGCUAUAAUGUACCAAAUAAUAUUUAAUUUUCCUGCUUUUUGACAUUAGUGGAUCUCUAUAUCAAGGUCAUGCUCUUUUAAAGGCCAUUUUGGUGAUGAAUGUAGGGACAUCUUAUGCUAUCAAUGAUGUACCAGAAUUACUACUAUUUAACUUUUAAUCCUUAAUGCUUUUGUUUGUUCAAUGAUGU
rnacentral:lncRNA from 1 species